rnacentral:lncRNA from 1 species
GAUGCAUCCUUUGCCAGGGCCAAGUCUCCAAUGCCUGGUAGGGGAAACUGAGGCAGCCCUCCAAGAGACAUUAUAUGCCAAGGUCGCACAGCAAGUCAGUGCACUUUGAGACUAGGACCUAGAACCCUGACUCCUGGCCCAGGCUCUCUCCCUACACUUGGAUCCCAGAGACCAGUCUUUGAGAGGUGCUCAGAGGUCACUGCGCUGUGAGCCAGGUACCUGGUUCAGAGUCCCCCUUUACUAAGUGUUGGCUGUGUCACUUGGUCACCCAGUUCUCUUCACUAGACCUCAGUCACUCCUGGUGGAUGAUCUUCGAGGGGCCCCCACUUGAACUGUGAGUCUGGGAUCCUCUGAGUGGGGUAACUUGCCAGGCUGUGGAUUCUCUCUGUGAUGGUCUGAGGGACACUUCUGGGGGUGUUUUCUCCCUCCCACCAGACUGAAGCUAAGCAAUACUGGAAGCCGUGGUUGCUUCAAACAAGGCUGAGCAGGCCACCCGAGGAUGAUUGGGGGUCUGUUUUAUACACCUUGGAACCUAUCAGAUCCCUCCAACGAUCUGCUCAGCUUACUGGAGACCAGCUGGACCCAACCAAUACACACCUCUUAUCAUGGAGAGGAACAUGAGGCAUGUCCCUCAAUCAGGAAUAAAACACCAUGAGUGAAGAAAACAGGAAUACUGCCCUGGGUUUUCAUACAAGAAGGGGGUCCAAUGAUCAGGAGCUGGUCCAAACAGAAGCUUCAGCAAGGGGUGGGUAAGUACAUCAGGGACCAGAUAGAGAUGAAAUUGGAACAAACUUUCUGAAGGAGCCACUUUUAUGUCCACCCAGGUACAUAAGGUUGGGGGUAGUGGAAGGCAGACAGACAGACAGACCUACCUCUUCCCUCCCUCUCAGUUGUGCUACUGA